AUGUCACUGGUGACACUGGUGUCACUGGGGACACUGGGACUGGGGACACUGGGGGGACUGGGGACACUGGGGACACUGGGGACACUGGGACUGGGGACACUGGGGACACUGGGACUGGGGACACUGAUGUCACUGGUGACACUGGGACUGGGGACACUGGUGACGCUGGUGUCACUGGGGACACUGGGACUGGGGACACUGGGGGGACUGGGGACACUGGGGACACUGGGGACACUGGGACUGGGGACACUGGGGAAACUGGGACUGGGGACACUGGGGACACUGGGACUGGGGACACUGAUGUCACUGGUGACACUGGGACUGGGGACACUGGUGACACUGGUGUCACUGGGGACACUGGGACUGGGGACACUGGGGACACUGGGACUGGGGGGACUGGGACUGGUGUCACCGGUGUCACUGGUGACACUGGGACUGGGGACACUGGUGAUACUGGUGACACUGGGACUGGGGACACUGGGGACACUGGGGACACUGGGACUGGGGACACUGGGACUGGUGUCACUGGUGACACUGGGACUGGGGACACUGGGACUGGGGACACUGGGGACACUGGGGACACUGGUGACACUGGGACUGGGGACACUGGGACUGGUGAUACUGGUGUCACUGGUGUCACUGGUGUCACUGGUGACACUGGGACUGGGGACACUGGGGAUACUGGUGACACUGGGGACACUGGGACUGGGGGGACUGGGACUGGGUGGACUGGGGACACUGGGACUGGGGACACUGGUGACACUGGUGACACUGGGGAUACUGGGGACACCGGGACUGGUGUCACUGGUGUCACUGGUGACACCGGUGACACUGGGACUGGGGACACUGGUGUCACUGGUGAUACUGGGAUUGGGGACACUGGUGAUACUGGUGACACUGGGACUGGUGUCACUGGUGAUACUGGGACUUGGGACACUGGGACUGGGGACACUGGGGACACUGGGACUGGUGAUACUGGUGAUACUGGUGACACUGGGACUGGUGAUACUGGUGAUACUGGUGAUACUGGUGAUACUGGUGUCCCUGUUGUCCCUUGGUCCCUGUGCGUCCCCUCCCCCCC
rnacentral:lncRNA from 1 species